GAAGAAGUUACAGCAAAAAUAGGCAGUUGUGCUAAGAUAACGGACUGUGGGGGCGGGUUCUGGCCUCUGCAUAUUGCUCUAUGCCCAGAGCUUAGCACAAGGCCUGUCAUGUAAUAGCUCCUCAAUGUAUUCAAUAAAUAUUUAUUGCAUGAAUUCAGAAAUAGAUUUGGAAAGGGAGGCUGAAUAAUUUCUAGAAGGCUUGGAGGAAUGGCAGAAGUACAGGUCAGGAGGAAGGAAUGGGACUGAUGUAUUCCAAGCCCCAGGUGACUGGGCAGGGGAGGGUGUUAAAAUAGGAGAGUGGGGACAGGGUGUAGGGAAAAGGAGAAAUUUGGAAAUUUGGAUUUGCUUUAUAGAUACUGAGAACACAUUAAGGAUUCUAUUUGUUCCAGAUUAAUCUGAAUCUGUUUCAUUGCUUGCUCGUUUGAAUCUGGGGCUGUCUGUAAUUGCCCUGCACUGCUGGUAGAUGACAAGUGUGAGCGUGAGCGUGAGUCUGUGUGUGUACAGGGGGAGUGAGGUGUUGCAUUACCUAGCCCUCCUCUUUAUCUAAAUGUCAUCCUGCUCCUCUUGCCUGAACCUUCACUUUUUCUACCCAGUCUGGGCCAAGUUCCCUUCUCCUGUGUGGCUCUGACUCAGAACGGGAGGAUGGGGGAAGCGCUGCCUGGCAUGUGAUGGUCACUGCCUGCUGGGACUCCAGUAAGGUCUGCGUGUGAAGCUCCCACUGUUCCUGGCAGAGCCGAGGAAAUGCCCACAUGAUGCAUCUGGAUUUGGGGUGCCUCUGAUGGCGUACAAGUGUGCCAACGUCCUUAUCUCCUCAGUCUUUAUGUUGAGCUCAAAGUCAAGGAGCCCAGAGCUCUCAGGAAGUGAAUUUAAAAAAGAGCAAGAACAAACAAACACCCUCCCACCAAGAAGAAGACAAAAUCAUGAGAAUCUUCAUAAAAUCUCAGCAGCAGAACAAUAGAUGUAGCUCAUGGAAAGAACACAGACAUGCUGUUGGACGUCAAUAUCACACACUCACAACUGGAGUUUGCAGACUAUCUGGGGAAACUAUCCAAGGAGAAGGGAAUCAACUGAUGAGCAAUUAAAUACAUUUUUUUUUAAAGGACAAAAUAACUCUUAAAAAUACAGUCUCUAAAGGGGUUAAUCUCCAAAAUAUAUAAAGAACGCAUACAACUCAACAAUGCAAAA
rnacentral:lncRNA from 1 species